GUUUGUAUUUGAAUAGUUAGAUUAACGUGUUAGUAAUCCAAUUGUAGGCGGUUCGUGUGUGGAUCUUGUCAGCAUAUCGUCGCAAACAGGUGUGUAACUAACACCCUCUUUCUUAGUCUAGAUCGGCAAAAGUCGAAAAGCCAAAAUGCCGAAAAUCGGUAUUUUGUAGAUUUGCGAGUGUGCGAAUGCUCGUGAGGUAAAUCGAUUAAUGUUUUUGGUAAGCUACAAAAUUUGGACUGCAAAGUGCAUGAUUUCUGUGCCAUUGAUAUUUUUGGGCUUAAUGGGCCAAAAUUGAAAUGAUGGGCCAACGGACCCAAUUCGGUAAGAAUCCUCGGUAUGUGAUUCUGUUAGUACGUGAAAAGUAUGACUAUGCAUGAAAAACCCUAAAAUAGAUAAAUAACUGAAAUACCUUUAAAAGUGGAAAAUUUACAGUUUUACCCCUAGUAGGUAAAUUACCGAAAUACCCCUAGGGUUAAGUUGACCUAAAUGCAUGUUUGACUGUUGUUAUUUACUGCAUGUCAUGUUGUUAUUAUCUGAUGCAUGGGAUUGGGAUAUUGACGGAGGAAGUACUGAAAGUGGCUUGUCCAUGUACUGGAGGUUUUGCCUCAAUUUACUGUUAACUGAGCAGCAAGGCUGCAACUGUGGAGUGUUGGGCUGGGUAGGUUAAGCUAUUCCCCACAUGGAGUGUAUGGCUGGUACGGGUGGAGUGUAGUGGUUGGUGGGUUGAGUAGUCUCCCCAAAUGGGCUUGCAUAUGUUUACUGAUGUUGCAUGUAUUUUGAAAUGGGCCUAUGGGCCAUACUGUUAUCUGAAUAAUGGGCUAAGGCCUAGUUUAUUGUAAUCUGAAAAGGGCUCUGGCCCAGUACCACUGUUACCUGAAUGGGCUUAGGCCGAAUAGGCUUGAGCUGACUUGGGCUUUGAAUGGGUUUUCCUUACACACUGAGUUUCCCCAAACUCACCCCUUUUAUUUUCAUCCACGCAGGAAAUCCCCAACCAUAGUGGGCUUGGAGCUGUGAGGGAAUUCGGAGUGGCCACCCGUUCUGAAAGUUUGAUUUUCUUCUGGUGAACUGGACAUCCUUUUAAUUACGUUUGAGGUUUUGGGCUUUUAAAUGUAAUAAGACCGCUUAUUUAUUU
rnacentral:lncRNA from 1 species